AUGUGCGUCUGCCUCACCCAGCGCCCAGCUCCGGGCCUGCUCACGUGGGUGAAAGGAGGGCCGUGCGGGGCCCACACACGUCUCAGGGAGGCUGCGCUGGGGAGGGGGGUCUCCCAGAGGGGGCUCAGAGAACAGGCCUUCUUUGAGAGGCUGGGGGAGUGGGGAGGGGCAGGGCCGGAAGGCGGGUCCCAGUACAAAGGGUUCUGUCUGCAAAGUCAGGCCUGCACCUGGCCUGCCCCCCCCAAGCAUCCUCCUGGAAGAGGGGCCCAGGCCUCGGACCAGGAGCUCUCAGCCCAGGGGAGCCACCUCCCGCGCUCUGGGGCUGGCUCAGAGGGCCCUGGCCGGCACAGGGUAGCAGGCCUGGGCACCCGCUCUCCUGCUGUGCAGAGCGCAGGGGCCAGAGCCCCAUGCAGCAGCUUCCUUCUGAGGCCAAGGGGUGCAGGGGUCCCAGGCCGGAUCCCCUGGAGGCCACAGCGGAGGCAGAGGCUGGCACACCUCCCCUCCCCAGAGAACUGCUGCACACCCCUUCCUCCUCUGAAACCACAGACGUGGGAGCAGCUGUCGAGCAGGAAAAGUCACAAACACCCAGCGCCCUCAGCGCCAGGAGGGCAAGGGUUUAAUCCUCUUCUCCCUGCAAGAGAGGUCGCGGAGCAACCCCAUGGAUCUUCAUGUCCUUGUCCCAGUCCUGGUCUCCGCGCCCGUGUCUCUGGGGGUCUCCUGCCCUCCCCUCUGCAGACCCUCUAGAGAAGGUGAGGCCUGAGCCAUCCUCUAGGAGAAUCGGGGCAGCUGCCAGGCUCGAGACAAAGGGGGAUGGGGCAGGAGGGGGCCAGGAGUCCAUGCCUGCAGCAGCCUGGCUGCUAAUUCUCUCUAAUUGCUUUAAAGUUGUACUAAUUGAACUGAUUGAAAACAGAGUCUGGGGGUGAGGGGUCUGAAGGAAGGAAAGUGUGUCGCCCAAGAUGUCGGGAGCCCAUCCCCCAGCCCAAGCUGACGCCUCUCAGCUGCCCAGGGCCUCAGCCAGGGCAGCUCUUUGUCUCCUGACCACAGGCCUCCCCUGAGCCCCCUGCCAGCCCUGGAGUCGUGGGCCGAGGGGGGGGAGGGGCCAGACAGAGCCAGGGAGUCUCCGAACAGGACGGGCCGGGCCGCGCUCCCUCCACGCACACAGCCCACGGCAUCAUGCAGCCCAGCGCACCGGCCGCCGGGUGUACCCGACGAAUCCCCCGGACAGGCCUGGGCCCGGGACCAGGGGCCCUGCAGCCCACCCGCCUCACGUUGACGUGGCUGUGACACAUUUGCUCUGCACCUGAGCAGGAGACCCGAAAGCAGGCCCGGCCCAUUCCCCCCCCAGACUCCAGGGAAGGAGCCGGGACACAUCUGGGGAGGUGAGUGGCCCCUCACAGGCCCAAGAUGCAAAAGCGGGUUUUUGUUUCUCUGAUAAGCGCGCCAUCGCCCUCGGUGUCCGGUCACUCCGCGGGCACAGAGUCCACCCCUUCCUUCUAGGCCUUCUCCUCCAACAUGCGCUCUCGCUGUCGCAUUGGGGGGGCUCCUCACGCCCCCACCGCCCCCAGAAAGGGACUCAGUCCCCCCCCAGGGUGUGCCACUCCACUUAUGGCCACCAGGUGCCACUGUGGACCGCGUGUCCUGCACAGCCCUGUGCCUGGCUCUGCUGGCGCCGUGGAGCGAGCUCCCGUGGAGUUGGGCCCUGGAGGAGUCUCCGACCAGCUUUAGUCUAGACGCGCACACCUGU
rnacentral:lncRNA from 12 species